AUAGGAGAUGAAUUAGACAUGUGACAGUAGAAAAAGAGAGAAAAGUUGGUGAAUGUGAUGGAGAAACAAAAGGAAGAGAAACAUGAGAAGGAAGAGGAGAGAGUGGUGAUUCAUGUGAACCAUUAAGAAAUGAAGGGGCAGUCUAAGUAUGACCAGUAGAUAAUAGUUGGAGAAGAUGAAGUGAUGAAAGAUGUAAUUUUGGACAAGUGAAAUUAAACAUCUGUACAGAAUUUGAAAGUGGAAUAGGAGAUAAGUUGGAUUAGAUGAGGAGGAAAUAGAGGAAGGAGAAGUUGGUUAAGGUGAAUGAGUAGAAGGAAGUGAAGCUUGGGAAGGAGGAUGAGAGUGUGAUGAUUCAAGUGAAACUUUAAAAGUUAAAAUACCAGUAUAUGGAUGAGCAGUAUGAUGAGAGGAGAAUCUCUCCAAGGUGAGUAAUUGUGGGAGAAGAAGUGAUUUUUUAAGGAUGUGAAGUGAUGAAAGAAUUAAAUUUGGACUAAAGAAAUUUAACAUGUCUAGAGAUUUAGCUAGUGGAAUUGGAGAUGAAUUAGACAUGUGACAGAAGAAAAAGAAAGAAAAGUUGGUGAAUGUGAUGGAGAAACAAAAGGAAGAGAAACAUGAGAAGGAAGAGGAGUGAGUGGUGAUUCAUGUGAACCAUUAAGAAAUGAAGGGGGAGUGUAAGGAUGAACAGUAGAUAAUAGUUGGAGAAGAUGAAGUGAUGAAAGAUGUAAUUUUGGACAAGUGAAAUUAAACAUCUGUACAGAAUUUGAAAGUGGAAUAGGAGAUAAGAUGGAUUAGAUGAGGAGGAAAUAGAAGAAGGAGAAGUUGGUUAUGGUGAAUGAGUAGAAGGAAGUGAAGCUUGGGAAGGAGGAUGAACAGUAUAUAAUAGUUGGACAAGAUGAAGUGAUGAAAGAUGUAAUUUUGGACAAGUGAAAUUUAACAUCUGUACAGAGUUUGGAAGUGGAAUAGGAGAUAAGUUGGAUUAGAUGAGGAGGAAAUAGAAGAAGGAGAAGUUGGUUAAGGUGAAUGAGUAGAAGGAAGUGAAGCUUGGGAAGGAGGAUGAGAGUGUGAUGAUUCAAGUGAAACUUUAAAAGUUAAAAUACCAGUAUAUGGAUGAGCAGUAAGAUGAGAGGAGAAUCUCUCCAAGGUGAGUAAUUGUGGGAGAAGAAGUGAUUUUUUAAGGAUGUGAAGUGAUGAAAGAAUUAAAUUUGGACUAAAGAAAUUUAACAUGUCUAGAGAUUUAGCUAGUGGAAUUGGAGAUGAAUUAGACAUGUGACAGAAGAAAAAGAAAGAAAAGUUGGUGAAUGUGAUGGUGAAACAAAAGGAAGAGAAACAUGAGAAGGAAGUGGAGAGAGUGGUGAUUCAUGUGAACCAUUAAGAAAUGAAGGGGGAGUAUAAGGAUGAACAGUAGAUAAUAGCUGGAGAAGAUGAAGUGAUGAAAGAUGUAAUUUUGGACAUGUGAAAUUAAACAUCUGUACAGAAUUUGAAAGUGGAAUAGGAGAUAAGUUGGAUUAGAUGAGGAGGAAAUAGAAGAAGGAGAAGUUGGUUAAGGUGAAUGAGUAGAAGGAAGUGAAGCUUGGGAAGGAGGAUGAACAGUAUAUAAUAGUUGGACAAGAUGAAGUGAUGAGAGAUGUAAUUUUGGACAAGUGAAAUUUAACAUCUUUACAGAGUUUGAAAGUGGAAUAGGAGAAAAGUUGGAUUAGAUGAGGAGGAAAUAGAAGAAGGAGAAGUUGGUUAAGGUGAAUGAGUAGAAGGAAGUGAAGCUUGGGAAGGAGGAUGCGGGUGUGAUGAUUCAAGUGAAACUUUAAAAGUUAAAAUGCCAGUAUAUGGAUGAGCAGUAAGAUGAGAGGAGAAUCUCUCCAAGGUGAGUAAUUGUGGGAGAAGAAGUGAUUUUUUAAGGAUGUAAAGUGAUGAAAGAAUGUAAUUUGGACUAAAGAAAUUUAACAUGUCUAGAGAUUUAGCUUGUGGAAUAGGAGAUGAAUUAGACAUGUGACAGAAGAAAAAGAGAGAAAAGUUGGUGAAUGUGAUGGAGAAACAAAAGGAAGAGAAACAUGAGAAGGAAGAGGAGAGAGUGGUGAUUCAUGUGAACCAUUAAGAAAUGAAGGGGCAGUCUAAGUAUGACCAGUAGAUAAUAGUUGGAGAAGAUGAAGUGAUGAAAGAUGUAAUUUUGGACAAGUGAAAUUAAACAUCUGUACAGAAUUUGAAAGUGGAAUAGGAGAUAAGUUGGAUUAGAUGAGGAGGAAAUAGAGGAAGGAGAAGUUGGUUAAGGUGAAUGAGUAGAAGGAAGUGAAGCUUGGGAAGGAGGAUGAGAGUGUGAUGAUUCAAGUGAAACUUUAAAAGUUAAAAUACCAGUAUAUGGAUGAGCAGUAUGAUGAGAGGAGAAUCUCUCCAAGGUGAGUAAUUGUGGGAGAAGAAGUGAUUUUUUAAGGAUGUGAAGUGAUGAAAGAAUUAAAUUUGGACUAAAGAAAUUUAACAUGUCUAGAGAUUUAGCUAGUGGAAUUGGAGAUGAAUUAGACAUGUGACAGAAGAAAAAGAAAGAAAAGUUGGUGAAUGUGAUGGAGAAACAAAAGGAAGAGAAACAUGAGAAGGAAGAGGAGUGAGUGGUGAUUCAUGUGAACCAUUAAGAAAUGAAGGGGGAGUGUAAGGAUGAACAGUAGAUAAUAGUUGGAGAAGAUGAAGUGAUGAAAGAUGUAAUUUUGGACAAGUGAAAUUAAACAUCUGUACAGAAUUUGAAAGUGGAAUAGGAGAUAAGAUGGAUUAGAUGAGGAGGAAAUAGAAGAAGGAGAAGUUGGUUAUGGUGAAUGAGUAGAAGGAAGUGAAGCUUGGGAAGGAGGAUGAACAGUAUAUAAUAGUUGGACAAGAUGAAGUGAUGAAAGAUGUAAUUUUGGACAAGUGAAAUUUAACAUCUGUACAGAGUUUGGAAGUGGAAUAGGAGAUAAGUUGGAUUAGAUGAGGAGGAAAUAGAAGAAGGAGAAGUUGGUUAAGGUGAAUGAGUAGAAGGAAGUGAAGCUUGGGAAGGAGGAUGAGAGUGUGAUGAUUCAAGUGAAACUUUAAAAGUUAAAAUACCAGUAUAUGGAUGAGCAGUAAGAUGAGAGGAGAAUCUCUCCAAGGUGAGUAAUUGUGGGAGAAGAAGUGAUUUUUUAAGGAUGUGAAGUGAUGAAAGAAUUAAAUUUGGACUAAAGAAAUUUAACAUGUCUAGAGAUUUAGCUAGUGGAAUUGGAGAUGAAUUAGACAUGUGACAGAAGAAAAAGAAAGAAAAGUUGGUGAAUGUGAUGGUGAAACAAAAGGAAGAGAAACAUGAGAAGGAAGUGGAGAGAGUGGUGAUUCAUGUGAACCAUUAAGAAAUGAAGGGGGAGUAUAAGGAUGAACAGUAGAUAAUAGCUGGAGAAGAUGAAGUGAUGAAAGAUGUAAUUUUGGACAUGUGAAAUUAAACAUCUGUACAGAAUUUGAAAGUGGAAUAGGAGAUAAGUUGGAUUAGAUGAGGAGGAAAUAGAAGAAGGAGAAGUUGGUUAAGGUGAAUGAGUAGAAGGAAGUGAAGCUUGGGAAGGAGGAUGAACAGUAUAUAAUAGUUGGACAAGAUGAAGUGAUGAGAGAUGUAAUUUUGGACAAGUGAAAUUUAACAUCUUUACAGAGUUUGAAAGUGGAAUAGGAGAAAAGUUGGAUUAGAUGAGGAGGAAAUAGAAGAAGGAGAAGUUGGUUAAGGUGAAUGAGUAGAAGGAAGUGAAGCUUGGGAAGGAGGAUGCGGGUGUGAUGAUUCAAGUGAAACUUUAAAAGUUAAAAUGCCAGUAUAUGGAUGAGCAGUAAGAUGAGAGGAGAAUCUCUCCAAGGUGAGUAAUUGUGGGAGAAGAAGUGAUUUUUUAAGGAUGUAAAGUGAUGAAAGAAUGUAAUUUGGACUAAAGAAAUUUAACAUGUCUAGAGAUUUAGCUUGUGGAAUAGGAGAUGAAUUAGACAUGUGACAGAAGAAAAAGAGAGAAAAGUUGGUGAAUGUGAUGGAGAAACAAAAGGAAGAGAAACAUGAGAAGGAAGAGGAGAGAGUGGUGAUUCAUGUGAACCAUUAAGAAAUGAAGGGGCAGUCUAAGUAUGACCAGUAGAUAAUAGUUGGAGAAGAUGAAGUGAUGAAAGAUGUAAUUUUGGACAAGUGAAAUUAAACAUCUGUACAGAAUUUGAAAGUGGAAUAGGAGAUAAGUUGGAUUAGAUGAGGAGGAAAUAGAGGAAGGAGAAGUUGGUUAAGGUGAAUGAGUAGAAGGAAGUGAAGCUUGGGAAGGAGGAUGAGAGUGUGAUGAUUCAAGUGAAACUUUAAAAGUUAAAAUACCAGUAUAUGGAUGAGCAGUAUGAUGAGAGGAGAAUCUCUCCAAGGUGAGUAAUUGUGGGAGAAGAAGUGAUUUUUUAAGGAUGUGAAGUGAUGAAAGAAUUAAAUUUGGACUAAAGAAAUUUAACAUGUCUAGAGAUUUAGCUAGUGGAAUUGGAGAUGAAUUAGACAUGUGACAGAAGAAAAAGAAAGAAAAGUUGGUGAAUGUGAUGGAGAAACAAAAGGAAGAGAAACAUGAGAAGGAAGAGGAGUGAGUGGUGAUUCAUGUGAACCAUUAAGAAAUGAAGGGGGAGUGUAAGGAUGAACAGUAGAUAAUAGUUGGAGAAGAUGAAGUGAUGAAAGAUGUAAUUUUGGACAAGUGAAAUUAAACAUCUGUACAGAAUUUGAAAGUGGAAUAGGAGAUAAGAUGGAUUAGAUGAGGAGGAAAUAGAAGAAGGAGAAGUUGGUUAUGGUGAAUGAGUAGAAGGAAGUGAAGCUUGGGAAGGAGGAUGAACAGUAUAUAAUAGUUGGACAAGAUGAAGUGAUGAAAGAUGUAAUUUUGGACAAGUGAAAUUUAACAUCUGUACAGAGUUUGGAAGUGGAAUAGGAGAUAAGUUGGAUUAGAUGAGGAGGAAAUAGAAGAAGGAGAAGUUGGUUAAGGUGAAUGAGUAGAAGGAAGUGAAGCUUGGGAAGGAGGAUGAGAGUGUGAUGAUUCAAGUGAAACUUUAAAAGUUAAAAUACCAGUAUAUGGAUGAGCAGUAAGAUGAGAGGAGAAUCUCUCCAAGGUGAGUAAUUGUGGCAGAAGAAGUGAUUUUUUAAGGAUGUGAAGUGAUGAAAGAAUUAAAUUUGGACUAAAGAAAUUUAACAUGUCUAGAGAUUUAGCUAGUGGAAUUGGAGAUGAAUUAGACAUGUGACAGAAGAAAAAGAAAGAAAAGUUGGUGAAUGUGAUGGUGAAACAAAAGGAAGAGAAACAUGAGAAGGAAGUGGAGAGAGUGGUGAUUCAUGUGAACCAUUAAGAAAUGAAGGGGGAGUAUAAGGAUGAACAGUAGAUAAUAGCUGGAGAAGAUGAAGUGAUGAAAGAUGUAAUUUUGGACAUGUGAAAUUAAACAUCUGUACAGAAUUUGAAAGUGGAAUAGGAGAUAAGUUGGAUUAGAUGAGGAGGAAAUAGAAGAAGGAGAAGUUGGUUAAGGUGAAUGAGUAGAAGGAAGUGAAGCUUGGGAAGGAGGAUGAACAGUAUAUAAUAGUUGGACAAGAUGAAGUGAUGAGAGAUGUAAUUUUGGACAAGUGAAAUUUAACAUCUUUACAGAGUUUGAAAGUGGAAUAGGAGAAAAGUUGGAUUAGAUGAGGAGGAAAUAGAAGAAGGAGAAGUUGGUUAAGGUGAAUGAGUAGAAGGAAGUGAAGCUUGGGAAGGAGGAUGCGGGUGUGAUGAUUCAAGUGAAACUUUAAAAGUUAAAAUGCCAGUAUAUGGAUGAGCAGUAAGAUGAGAGGAGAAUCUCUCCAAGGUGAGUAAUUGUGGGAGAAGAAGUGAUUUUUUAAGGAUGUGAAGUGAUGAAAGAAUGUAAUUUGGACUAAAGAAAUUUAACAUGUCUAGAGAUUUAGCUUGUGGAAUAGGAGAUGAAUUAGACAUGUGACAGAAGAAAAAGAGAGAAAAGUUGGUGAAUGUGAUGGAGAAACAAAAGGAAGAGAAACAUGAGAAGGAAGAGGAGAGAGUGGUGAUUCAUGUGAACCAUUAAGAAAUGAAGGGGCAGUCUAAGUAUGACCAGUAGAUAAUAGUUGGAGAAGAUGAAGUGAUGAAAGAUGUAAUUUUGGACAAGUGAAAUUAAACAUCUGUACAGAAUUUGAAAGUGGAAUAGGAGAUAAGUUGGAUUAGAUGAGGAGGAAAUAGAGGAAGGAGAAGUUGGUUAAGGUGAAUGAGUAGAAGGAAGUGAAGCUUGGGAAGGAGGAUGAGAGUGUGAUGAUUCAAGUGAAACUUUAAAAGUUAAAAUACCAGUAUAUGGAUGAGCAGUAUGAUGAGAGGAGAAUCUCUCCAAGGUGAGUAAUUGUGGGAGAAGAAGUGAUUUUUUAAGGAUGUGAAGUGAUGAAAGAAUUAAAUUUGGACUAAAGAAAUUUAACAUGUCUAGAGAUUUAGCUAGUGGAAUUGGAGAUGAAUUAGACAUGUGACAGAAGAAAAAGAAAGAAAAGUUGGUGAAUGUGAUGGAGAAACAAAAGGAAGAGAAACAUGAGAAGGAAGAGGAGUGAGUGGUGAUUCAUGUGAACCAUUAAGAAAUGAAGGGGGAGUGUAAGGAUGAACAGUAGAUAAUAGUUGGAGAAGAUGAAGUGAUGAAAGAUGUAAUUUUGGACAAGUGAAAUUAAACAUCUGUACAGAAUUUGAAAGUGGAAUAGGAGAUAAGAUGGAUUAGAUGAGGAGGAAAUAGAAGAAGGAGAAGUUGGUUAUGGUGAAUGAGUAGAAGGAAGUGAAGCUUGGGAAGGAGGAUGAACAGUAUAUAAUAGUUGGACAAGAUGAAGUGAUGAAAGAUGUAAUUUUGGACAAGUGAAAUUUAACAUCUGUACAGAGUUUGGAAGUGGAAUAGGAGAUAAGUUGGAUUAGAUGAGGAGGAAAUAGAAGAAGGAGAAGUUGGUUAAGGUGAAUGAGUAGAAGGAAGUGAAGCUUGGGAAGGAGGAUGAGAGUGUGAUGAUUCAAGUGAAACUUUAAAAGUUAAAAUACCAGUAUAUGGAUGAGCAGUAAGAUGAGAGGAGAAUCUCUCCAAGGUGAGUAAUUGUGGCAGAAGAAGUGAUUUUUUAAGGAUGUGAAGUGAUGAAAGAAUUAAAUUUGGACUAAAGAAAUUUAACAUGUCUAGAGAUUUAGCUAGUGGAAUAGGAGAUGAAUUAGACGUGUGACAGAAGAAAAAGAAAGAAAAGUUGGUGAAAGUGAUGGUGAAAAAAAAGGAAGAGAAACAUGAGAAGGAAGAGGAGAGAGUGGUGAUUCAUGUGAACCAUUAAGAAAUGAAGGGGCAGUCUAAGUAUGACCAGUUGGAGGAGGGAGGACUCACUCCAAGCCCAAGGUGAGUAAUUUUUUAAGAAGAAGAAGAAGUGAUUUUGGAAUAAGGUGCAGUGGUGAAAGAAAGAAAUUUGGACACUUGAAAUUUUACAUCUUUAGAGAAAUAGAAAUUGGAAUAGGAGAUGUAUUAGAGGAAUGAAAGAAGAAAAAGACGGAGAAAUUGGUGAAAGUGAAUGAGAAGUAUGAAGAAGUAAUUGUGGAAGAAGAAGUGAUUUUGUAAGGAUGUGAAGUGGUGAAAGAAUGAAAUUUGGACCCAUGAGAUUUAACAUGUCUAGACAUUUAGCAAGUGGAAUAGGAGAUGAAUUAGACGUGUAACAGAAGUAAAAGAAAGAGAAGUUGGUGAAAGUGAUGGAGAAAAAAAAGGAAGAGAAACAUGGGAAGGAAGAGGAGACAGUGGUGGUUCAAGUGAACCAUUAAGAAAUGAAGGGGCAGUAUAUGUAUGACCAGUUGGAGGAAGGAGGAAUCACUGCAAGCCCAAGGUGUGUAAUUUUUUAAGAAGAAGAAGAAGUGAUUUUAGAAUAAGGUGCAGUGGUGAAAGAAAGAAAUUUGGACACUUGAAAUUUUACAUCUCUAGAGAAUUAGAAAGUUGAAUAGGAGAUGUAUUAGAUAAAUGAAAGAAGAAAAAGACGGAGUAAUUGGUGAAAGUGAAUGAGAAGUAAGAGAAACAUGGCAUGGAUGAGGAGAGAGUGAAGAUUCCAGUGAACUAUUACGAAUUAAAGGGGCAGUAUAACGAUAAGCAGUAGGAGGAGAGGAGGUGUCACUCCGUGGAGAGUAUAAGUUGGCGAAGAAGAGUGGUUUUUGAAUGAAGGGAAGUAAUGAAAGAUGAAAAUUCAGACUCACUCCACGGUGGGUAAUUGUUGUAGAAGGUGAAGUGAUUUUUUAAUGAGUUGAAGUGGGGAAACUGGAAUAAGAGCUGGAUUAGAUGUGUUGAAGAAAAUGAAAGAGAAGUUAGUGAAAGUUAAUGAGGAAGAAGGAAAAGAUACAUGGGAAGGAAUAGGGGAGAGUUAAUAUUCAAGUGUACAUUAAGAAUUGAAAGAGCAAAGUAACGAUGAGCCGUUGGUGGAGUGGAGGAAUCACUCCAAGGAGAGUAUAAGAUGGCGAAGAAGAGUGAUUUUUGAAUGAGGUGACUUGAUGUAAGAAGGAAUUUCCGACUCAUGAAUUUUACAUCUCUAGAGACUUAGAUAUGGAAUAAGAGAUGGAAUAGACAGGGAGAAAGAAGAAAAAGAAGGAGAAGAUGGUUAAUGUGAAUGAGGAGAAGGUUGAGAAACAUUGGAAAGAGGAUGAGAGGACCUGUAUAAGGAUGAGCAGUAGUAGGAGAGGAGGAAUAACUCAAAGUUGAGUAAUUCUGUGAUAAGAAGAAGUGAUUUUUUAAGGAUUUGAAGUGGUGAAAGAAGAAAUUUGGACUCAUGAAAUUUAACAUCCUUAGAGAAUUAUCAAGUAGAAUAUGAGAUGGAUUAGGGUGUUAGGAUUCGGGUGACACAUUAAGAGUUGAUGGAGCAAGGAUGAGCAGUAAAACUAGAAUUUUAUAUUUGUUUAUUAAGACUACUUUUGUUUUUGCAUUGGUUCGCUUAAACUACAUUUUUUUAUUUUUCCCUUAAACAACUGCUUUUGUUUUUUCUUGAUUAAACUACAGUAUGCUUGCAUGAUAUCUUUUUAUAUUUGGUUCAUAUCAAUACUUUUUUUGUAUUAAAACACUUGUUACAUCUGCUUACAUAAUUUUUUCCCCAUUUUCUUGGGUAAAAUUGUUUUUACAUUUUGAUAGCAUUAAAAUAAAUUUUUUUUGCCACUUUUUUACCUAGAAACUAUUCUUUUUUUUUUUUUUGCAUUUGUUUGCCAAAUCAUAUUUUUAUAUUUGUUUAUAGGAUAACACUUAUUUUCAUUUGUUUCCUAUAUACUCAUCUUCAAAUCUAUUUUCUCACGUUUGUUCGUGAGAUGUUUUUAUCUAAUGUAUUUGAAGCAUUUGCUUAGAAAGAGCUGCAGCAUACAAUGUGGUGCAUGUGAAGUAUUGGUUCAGGAACCCCUGAAUUUGGAUAUUUUUAUUAGCUUUCCAGAUUUCCAGAUCAAAGUUUUCAUGUAGUUUGUGAUCCCUGAUCUCAGGUUUCCUGUCUGUUCAUCUCCUGUCACUUUGCUGCCUCAGAUUGAUCUAUUCUCAAGAUAAGCGCUUGAUAAGCUAGUACCUGGUGAUUAUAAAGAUUUAAGGUUCCAGCCUCUGUUGUGUGCUGCAGCUCUUAUGCCUUGAAUCAUUCUAAGCUCUGGUCAAGAUAGAGGAGGUAUAUCAUCUUGGAAUUUUGUUGCUGGAGUUCUCGAUAAGGAUAAAGGCAUUUGCACUCUGUUUUACAGACUUCUGUCAAAAUUGAGUGGAAUUGGCAUUUGAGUUUCCUGAUGAAGACCACACUUGUAAGGUGUCGUGUUUCUAUAUAUGAUCCGGUAUGAUGGUUGGUGUGUGGUCCUGAAUGGAUAAGGCUUCUGCUCCUCCAUUAGUUUCUGGCAGCAUUUACAUGGAAGAGGUUCAUGUUCAGCUGGCGACGAAUUGUAUUUCAUAGUUGGCUCUCAGCACAUUCCUUUUGGUGCAUCCUCUCAGGCCCUUGGUGGUUUCCUAAGUGGUUCUCUUGAACUGGUGUCACAAAUUCGAAAUUUGCAUCAUAUUUUGUGGGGAGCUAUUAACACGAAUGCAUCCUACCUAUUGAUCAGAGGCAUGGAAACGGUGCAUCUCUGUGUACCGCAGCAGAAUUCCACUGCAUUAAGGAUGGCCAAACUUUUAGAGGCAUAUCCCAAGGGCUGUCUAUAUGAAAAGCAUUGACCCAGAUACAGCAACAACUUAACAUAUAUGAUGUGGUGUAUGUGAAGUACUAUGAUAAGAUUGUGCAUUUUCCCGAACCCCUGAAAUUGGAUAUUGUCGUUAGCUUUCCAGUUCACGUCACGACUUUCAUCUUCGUUUUGAUCCGUGGUAUCAGUUUGUUCGUGAGAUGUUCUUAUCUAAUGUAUUUGAAGCAUUUGCUUAGAAAGAGCUGCAGCAUACAAUGUGGUGCAUGUGAAGUAUUGGUUCAGGAACCCCUGAAUUUGGAUAUUUUUAUUAGCUUUCCAGAUUUCCAGAUCAAAGUUUUCAUGUAGUUUGUGAUCCCUGAUCUCAGGUUUCCUGUCUGUUCAUCUCCUGUCACUUUGCUGCCUCAGAUUGAUCUAUUCUCAAGAUAAGCGCUUGAUAAGCUAGUACCUGGUGAUUAUAAAGAUUUAAGGUUCCAGCCUCUGUUGUGUGCUGCAGCUCUUAUGCCUUGAAUCAUUCUAAGCUCUGGUCAAGAUAGAGGAGGUAUAUCAUCUUGGAAUUUUGUUGCUGGAGUUCUCGAUAAGGAUAAAGGCAUUUGCAUUCUGUUUUACAGACUUCUGUCAAAAUUGAGUGGAAUUGGCAUUUGAGUUUCCUGAUGAAGACCACACUUGUAAGGUGUCGUGUUUCUAUAUAUGAUCCGGUAUGAUGGUUGGUGUGUGGUCCUGAAUGGAUAAGGCUUCUGCUCCUCCAUUAGUUUCUGGCAGCAUUUACAUGGAAGAGGUUCAUGUUCAGCUGGCGACGAAUUGUAUUUCAUAGUUGGCUCUCAGCACAUUCCUUUUGGUGCAUCCUCUCAGGCCCUUGGUGGUUUCCUAAGUGGUUCUCUUGAACUGGUGUCACAAAUUCGAAAUUUGCAUCAUAUUUUGUGGGGAGCUAUUAACACGAAUGCAUCCUACCUAUUGAUCAGAGGCAUGGAAACGGUGCAUCUCUGUGUACCGCAGCAGAAUUCCACUGCAUUAAGGAUGGCCAAACUUUUAGAGGCAUAUCCCAAGGGCUGUCUAUAUGAAAAGCAUUGACCCAGAUACAGCAACAACUUAACAUAUAUGAUGUGGUGUAUGUGAAGUACUAUGAUAAGAUUGUGCAUUUUCCCGAACCCCUGAAAUUGGAUAUUGUCGUUAGCUUUCCAGUUCACGUCACGACUUUCAUCUUCGUUUUGAUCCGUGGUAUCAGAACCGUGGCAAUGAGGCUCAGACCUCUCACGACUCGAUGUGGUUUGGAGCUGAAAGGACCAAUAAGCUGUUGAUUCUCAUGAGGGAAACUGGUGCCGGUCAUAGAGCUUCUGCUGAGGACAUCUGUGAUGCUUUCCAAAUUAAAUUUGGUGAUGAAUGCAGGGUACAUUCUAACUCAUCCUCUUUUUUUUGUUGCUUAGUUCAACACCUGUUCUUUCAAUUGUUGAUUCUAGACCUGUUGUUGUUUUUCUUCCAUUGAACAAAUUAAGUUAGAAAACAGUUUUUUUUUUUGAAAAAUGUUUUUGUUUCCCUUCUUUCAAAUUUUGUUUUCUGAGGGAGUUUUCUUGGUGUGCGGUAUGUUUUUUCUGUGCUUCGUAUGUUUCUGUCACAUCUGGGGAUCUUGUGUUUUUUCUGUGCUUCGUAUGUUUCUGUCACAUCUGGGGAUCUUGUUCACGGGCUCUGUGGCCAUGUUUCAUUUUCUUCUUGAUGUUAUUUGCACAGCUUUCUCUCUCUGGAAAAGGAAGAUUAUGAAAAAGAUAACUUUGUACACAACUUGGCCUUUAAUUUUCCUUUUGUUUUUGCAUAUUCAUGUAAGCCAAAUUUGAGUUGCUGGUGAUGAUUGGCAGCAGUUCUUGCGACAGAGAAUAAGAGACUACAUAGCUGGAUGUUAUGAAAUUGACAUCUCUUCUAGGAUUUUUUUUCAUUACCUUCUCUUGUUUUUUCUGAAAUUUCAUGUUGGUGAUGAAGUUCAUGCCACCCUCUGAGUUUGUUUCAUUCUUGUUUGGACGUUGCUUGAUGGAACCAAGCUUGAUAGACGAUCCUCUAAACUUCUUUCUUCUCUCCAUUUGGUAAGCUCUUCACUUCUUCUACUCAUUUCCUAGUUUGGGGCAAUUCCUCAAAUGGCUUGUCAUUCUCUCCAAGGAGUGAGAAACUACGGUAAAAAAAAGUUCAUGUAUACUCUCGUUUGUUUGCUUUUUCUUUCUUCGUUCAUUUCUCUUUUUUCUUUUCAUAUUUUACAUUUAUAUUAGGAUUUCCCAUUGUAUUUUUUUUUUCUUUUGUAAUUUGUAGUUCUCUUCAUUUGUAAUUUUUUCUCUUGUUGAGGACUUUGGACUUUUCUUUUUGGGAUCCUUUGGUUGAUCCUUAUCUUGUUGUUUGUGUGGGUGAGUAGAGACUUUGGACGGUGGACUCUAUUGGAAAUAGAUCAUUUGGAGUGAUCCUCUAAGGUUGUGUUUUUUUUUAUUGCUUUAGUACUUGCUUCUUUCGCCUAGUUACCUUCAUCAUGGUCGAUGCUUUUGGGACUUAUUCCUCUCAUGUGUUUUCUUUUAAGUCACAUGCGGAGCUAAACUUGCAAAAUCAAGUCAAAAAAUGUUAAUCAUGAGAAGAAAAGGUAAACGAGUGCCAAAAGACGAUAAAUGGAGAGAGAAGUCAUAUAUAGUAAGCAUAAGAGUGAGUUUAGGUUCCCAGUUUUUUUGAGUUUCAUGUGGAUUUUGAUGAAAAUAAUGAGAGUAAACAAGAAAGAAAAGGAGUGAGAAGAGGUGAAAGAAAAGAAAAUGAUGAGAGAAAAAGUAUUAGAGGCCUUGCAUAUGACAUCUAUUACCUAGUGCCUCUUUACAUAUUAGUUCUUCAUGUGUUCCUUAUAGUUCUAUAAGACUAAUGGACCAUGUUUUGAGAAAUUUUAUUCAAAUAUAUAUUAUGGUUUAUUCUAAGUGUCAUAAGCUUUAUAUUGUGUUUAAUGCUUGUUCUUUCUACUUGGAUCUUGUAGUCCUUUUAGACUAUUAGUGCGCUUU